AGUGAUGAUAGCCUAGGAGAUACACCUGUUCCCAUGCCGAACACAGAAGUUAAGCCCUAGCACGCCUGAUGUAGUUGGGGGUUGCCCCCUGUUAGAUAUGGUAGUCGCUUAGCA
rnacentral:rRNA from 1 species